UUGCUUUUGGCAGCACAUAUUGUAAAAUUGGAAUGAUAUGGAGAAAAUUAGCAUAGUCCCUUUACAAGAAUGACAUCCAAAUUUAUGAUGCAGUUCAUAUUUAA